rfam:Canis lupus familiaris chromosome 12, whole genome shotgun sequence.
GUCUACGGCCAUACCACGCUGAAUGCGCCCGAUCUCGUCUGAUCUCGGAAGCUAAGCAGGGUCGGGCCUGGUUAGUACUUGGAUGGGAAAAAUGGUGCUGAUAGACU